GCAAUGUCUUUUAUCAUUCACUCUUCUUAGCCACCAUUAGAGACCAUUGAACUUUUCUCCCAAAGCCAUAACACCCAUCCUCAUCACUGUAUAUUUCUCCGACUAGAUUGUUGUCGUCAUUGACGUCCUCAUCACUGAGGGGGCUGAGAUCAAUGACCAACUCGCUCAACGACCAAUUUCUUUAGCCACUUCAUCGCCCACAUCUUCCAGGUAGUAGUCUGAUGCAUUUCUCUGAGGUUAUGAUCUUUCCAAAAUCCUCCCUAGUUAGAUCAUAAGUAGAAUGAAAAUUUUAGAGUCCUAAGUAUGGCCUUUCUAAGGUUCUCUUUUAAAAUACAAGUUAAUAGGUUCAUUAUGUUGCAUCACUAGUUUGUUAUCUCUUAAAUUCUAUUAUUAUUAUGUCUGCAUUCCUUAUAUUGACAAAUUGAAAAAUACCAGUA